GACGAACGCUGGCGGCGUGCUUAACACAUGCAAGUCGAACGGAAAGGCCCUUCUGUGGUGGGGUGCUCGAGUGGCGAACGGGUGAGUAACACGUGAGUAACCUGCCCUUGACUUUGGGAAAACUUCAGGAAACUGGGGCUAAUACCGGACAGGAGCUCCUGCUGCAGGGUGGGGGUGGGAAAGUUUCGGGGGUUGGGGAGGGACUCGCGUGUUAUCAGCUUGUGGGUGGGGUAGGGGCUUACCAAGCCUUUGGGGGGUAGCCGGCCUGAGAGGGUGGCCGGCAACAUUGGGACAGUGAUAGGCCCCAGACUCCUCCGGGGGGCGGAGGUGGGGAAAAUUGCACAAUGGGGGGAAGCCGGAUGAACCAACGCCGCGGGGGGGAUGACGGCGUUCGGGUGGAAACCCGCUUUCGCCAGUGAGGAAGCGUGAGUGACGGUAAUGGGUAAAGAAGCACCGGCUAACUACGUG
rnacentral:rRNA from 1 species